GACUCCUAAUGAGAUGAAAUGUGGAUGAAACAAUGACAAAGUGGUGAAGAAUGAAUGUCUAAAUCAU
rnacentral:sRNA from 1 species